ACUACAACGGGUGGAGCCUGCGGUUUAAUUGGAUUCAACGCCGGAAAUCUCACCGGGGCGACAGCAAUAUGAAGGUCAGGCUGAAGACCUUACCCGAUUAGCUGAGAGGUGGUGCAUGGCCGUCGUCAGUUCGUACUGUGAAGCAUCCUGUUAAGUCAGGCAACGAGCGAGACCCACGUCCACAGUUGCCAGCAUACCCUCCGGGGUGAUGGGUACACUGUGGAGACCGCCGCUGCUAAAGCGGAGGAAGGAGUGGGCAACGGUAGGUCAGUAUGCCCCGAAUCUCCCGGGCUACACGCGGGCUACAAUGGUUGGUACAAUGGGCAUCUACCCCGAAAGGGGAAGGAAAUCUCUUAAAGCCAAUCGUAGUUCGGAUUGAGGGCUGCAACUCGCCCUCAUGAAGCUGGAAUCCGUAGUAAUCGCGUUUCAACAGAACGCGGUGAAUACGUCCCUGCUCCUU
rnacentral:rRNA from 1 species